AUUGAACGCUGGCGGCAUGCCUUACACAUGCAAGUCGAACGGCAGCACGGGUGCUUGCACCUGGUGGCGAGUGGCGAACGGGUGAGUAAUACAUCGGAACAUGUCCUGUAGUGGGGGAUAGCCCGGCGAAAGCCGGAUUAAUACCGCAUACGACCUACGGAUGAAAGCGGGGGACCUUCGGGCCUCGCGCUAUAGGGUUGGCCGAUAGCUGAUUAGCUAGUUGGUGGGGUAAAGGCCUACCAAGGCGACGAUCAGUAGCUGGUCUGAGAGGACGACCAGCCACACUGGGACUGAGACACGGCCCAGACUCCUACGGGAGGCAGCAGUGGGGAAUUUUGGACAAUGGGCGAAAGCCUGAUCCAGCAAUGCCGCGUGUGUGAAGAAGGCCUUCGGGUUGUAAAGCACUUUUGUCCGGAAAGAAAUCCUUGGCUCUAAUACAGUCGGGGGAUGACGGUACCGGAAGAAUAAGCACCGGCUAACUACGUG
rnacentral:rRNA from 1 species